UACGUAGGGUGCAAGCGUUGUCCGGAAUUAUUGGGCGUAAAGAGCUCGUAGGCGGUCUGUCGCGUCUGCUGUGAAAAUCCAGGGCUCAACCCUGGACCUGCAGUGGGUACGGGCAGACUAGAGUGCGGUAGGGGAGAUCGGAAUUCCUGGUGUAGCGGUGAAAUGCGCAGAUAUCAGGAGGAACACCGAUGGCGAAGGCAGGUCUCUGGGCCAUAACUGACGCUGAGGAGCGAAAGCGUGGGGAGCGAACAGG
rnacentral:rRNA from 1 species